UUGAACGCUGGCGGCAGGCCUAACACAUGCAAGUCGCACGGUAACAGGAAGAAGCUUGCUUCUUUGCUGACGAGUGGCGGACGGGUGAGUAAUGUCUGGGAAACUGCCUGAUGGAGGGGGAUAACUACUGGAAACGGUAGCUAAUACCGCAUAAUGUCGCAAGACCAAAGAGGGGGACCUUCGGGCCUCUUGCCAUCGGAUGUGCCCAGAUGGGAUUAGCUAGUAGGUGGGGUAACGGCUCACCUAGGCGACGAUCCCUAGCUGGUCUGAGAGGAUGACCAGCCACACUGGAACUGAGACACGGUCCAGACUCCUACGGGAGGCAGCAGUGGGGAAUAUUGCACAAUGGGCGCAAGCCUGAUGCAGCUAUGCCGCGUGUAUGAAGAAGGCCUUCGGGUUGUAAAGUACUUUCAGCGGGGAGGAAGGGAGUAAAGUUAAUACCUGUGCUCAUUGACGUUACCCGCAGAAGAAGCACCGGCUAACUCCGUG
rnacentral:rRNA from 1 species